rnacentral:rRNA from 1 species
AGUGAACGCUGGCGGUAGGCCUAACACAUGCAAGUCGAACGGCAGCACAGUAAGAGCUUGCUCUUACGGGUGGCGAGUGGCGGACGGGUGAGGAAUACAUCGGAAUCUACUUUUUCGUGGGGGAUAACGUAGGGAAACUUACGCUAAUACCGCAUACGACCUACGGGUGAAAGCAGGGGAUCUUCGGACCUUGCGCGAUUGAAUGAGCCGAUGUCGGAUUAGCUAGUUGGCGGGGUAAAGGCCCACCAAGGCGACGAUCCGUAGCUGGUCUGAGAGGUUGAUCAGCCACACUGGAACUGAGACACGGUCCAGACUCCUACGGGAGGCAGCAGUGGGGAAUAUUGGACAAUGGGCGCAAGCCUGAUCCAGCCAUACCGCGUGGGUGAAGAAGGCCUUCGGGUUGUAAAGCCCUUUUGUUGGGAAAGAAAAGCAGCAGGUUAAUACCCCGCUGUUCUGACGGUACCCAAAGAAUAAGCACCGGCUAACUUCGU